CCUAAUCCAAGGUGCUUCCGUUCACCCUUAAAUGGAGCACAGUCCCAGUGUUGAACCCCGGCAGCAGGGCUGCUUCCCGGUGGGGGUGUUUAGGUUAGUGUGGUGAAAACGCCAGUCCUGUCUCGUAUUUUUAUCACAAAAGGGGGAAGGGGUGGUCCUUUCAACCUCAUCGUUGGUCCUAGCUCCCAAUUCCCACUCAGGAAGUGAAACUCAGGAAGACCACGCUUAGCAAGCUUCUUCCUUGGGUGGUGGCUCCUUGAGUGUGUGUGUGUGUGUGUGUGUGUGUGUGUGUGUGUGUGUGUGUGUGUGUGUGGUGUGUCUGUGUGUGGUUUUAUUGAUGUAUUUGAUAUAGCUAGGAAACACGCAUGUACACGUGUGGACAGGGAAGAGCAGAGGAAGGAUGGUUAUUUUGAGGAAUUGACCCAAGCCAACUGUGGAGAGACUUUGUAGCUCCAAAAUAUUAUGGAUUAGUCAGUCUGACUGAGACCUGAGUGGGGAAUUGGUCUUUUGACACUAUCCCUUUUUUUGUUGUGGGAAGGACAGAUUUUUUUGAGUUGCAAAUUCUUCUUGGUGCAGCUCUUGAGGAUGUGAAUUUUUGUCUCUUGACUUGGCCUGAGUAUAGGCUAGAAGGGGAACCCAAGUGUUCCUGUGAGUUACCAUUAGAACCUGGUGACUUUAAUCCAUCUCUUCUAUAGUUUCUCAGAACCUGGGACAGGUCGGAAGUGGCAGGCGUUAGGUUUGUGGGUGGGGCUUAUGAGCCCUCCCACCGACCUGUGACCUCUUUGAAGGAGGAAGGCACACCAUUUUCACUUAGUCUUCGUUACUAACUGUUGUGUCCUGCCCAAGUUCCAUCGCUAAAUAAUUAGCCUCCACUACCCAGAGUGGAGACAGAGCCCAUAAAGAGGUGGUUAAGUUAAAAUGAAACAGUUAAGGUAGAUUCUAAAUUAAUCUGACUGACGUCUUUAUGAUGAAGAGGACAUUGGGCAAACUGAGGGACACUGGGGAUCAUGUAAGCACACAGCAAGGGGGAACUGUCUGUGCAUGAGAGAGAGAGAGAGAGAGAGAGAGAGAGAGAGAGAGAGAGAGAGAGAGAGAGAGAGAGAGAGAGAGAGGCAAUGCCCUAAGGGGAAGCAAACCACCUUAGACUUCUAGUAUUCUGCAAUGGUAGUCAUAGCACACUGAUACCCUAUAUCUCAAAAGCCUCAGAGAAUGAUGAAAGAAGCAGAUAAGGAAAGCAGGGACUCCCCUGGCUGGGGGGAGAGCAGACAGGAGAGAAGCUGUGAUUAGGGAUGAUGCCCAGGGAACACCGAGGGGAGUGUGUGGGCCUGCUUCUGGGGCUGACGGGAAGAAUGCUAUUAACUUCCUCGUGGAGUUAAUCUGGAAAGGGACAAGUUACAGUGAACUAAUCUGUGACAGAGAGGCUAAGGAUACAAAGAAGGGAAUGAAUAGACUCAUAAUAAAUAAAUGAAUGAAUUAUUAGUAUGUGGUGGACACCGGACAGCCACGUAAAAUAGAAUGAAUUGAGCCCUUACCUUAUGCCGUACACAAAUAGCUCAAAAUGGAGUCAAGACUUCAACAGAAGACCUGAAAUUGUGGUGCUCUUAGAGGACAGCAUAGAGGACAAGCUGCUUGACAUUGACCUUAGCCACACUUUUAAAGAGAUGACGUCAAAAGCAUUGGCAGUAGAGAUAGAAAUUUAAAAGCGGAUUCCAUCAAACUAGAAUGUUUUUAUGUAUUUAGAAAAAUCACAAACCUUUUACUUUUUAUGUUAUUAUCGUGUAUGUACAGGUGUCUUGCCUGCAUGUAUGUCUGUGUCCUAUGUGAUGCCUGGUGCAUGUGGAGGCCAGAGGAGGGUGUCAGAUCCUUCGGAACUGGAAUUGCAGACAGUUGUGAGCCCUCAUGUGGAUGCUGAGACUAUAACCCGCGUUCUCUAGGAGAAGCAGGUGCUCUUAAUUGCUGAGCCAUCUCUCCAGCUCCCUAAAAAAGUUUUGUAUAGAAAAAUAAUUCAACAAAAUUAAAAAAAAUGAACACUUCAAAAUAGAAAAUUUACAAACGUUAAGGAUUAAUCAGUAUUUUCAGAGAGUACCCAUAGAGUAGAUAAAUGUCAGUAGCUAUAAAUAAAUAUAUAGAGAACAGGCAAUUUAGAAGAAUUGACUCAUGUGCUUAUGGAGGCCGAGAAGUUACAUGAACAGGCUUGGGAUCCAGGGAAGCCACUGGUGUGUCUCCAUCAGUCUGAAGACCUCAGAACCAGUGAUCCCUGGUGCAAUUCUCCAUUCAAGACUGAAAGCCUGGGAGAGGGGAUGGGGCAGGCGCAGGUGCGGGUCCUGGAAUCCAGGGGCUGGAGAACAGAAGGGUGUUCCAGUUCAGAGGGGUGUGUGUGUGUGUGUGUGUGUGUGUGUGUGUGUGUGUGUGUGUGUGUGUGCAUGCUCAGCAUACAUACAUACACACACACACCAACACACACACACACACAGAAGGGGAGUUACUCCCUUCCCCCUGGCUAUGGUUGAGAAUCUCAAGCUGGUUGGGUGCUACCCACUGCCAUUGAAGAGAGAUCUUUGCAGCUCAGUCCACCGCUGUACAUGUCAAUCUUUUCUAGAAAUAAUGUUUCUUUGCUAGACUCACUAGUCCAAACUUAUUCCUGAAGUAAUGAUAACACUACCCUGUCUCUGAGAGACGGUUAAUCUUAAAAAUACAAGGGAUUCAUGCAAGUGCAUAGACGAAAACAAUAACAGUUAAGUAACUGGUAAAGGUGCCAAUGGCCACUUUUCUAAAGGAGACCCACAGGUGGCCAGCGGUUUGUGAAAAGGCCUCAGUGUCACCAACUGUCAGGCACUCUAGAGUAAAAACCACCACGAGCUACCAUGUCACGCCGGGGAGGGUGGCUGUUAUCAGAGAGGAAAGAAAUACCGUGCUGAUGGGGAGGCAGACAAAAGGGGACCCUUCUCCCCACUGAUAGGAACCUAUGGUGAGACAACCAUUACAGAAAAGCAGAAUGGAGCUUCCUCAAAAAAUCAGAGAAGAGCUCCUGUGGAUCCAGCUAUGUCGCCACUGAGUGUAUCUGAAGGAAAUUUACUCAGCGUUUCAGCGAUAUUUGUACUUCAGGAUCAUUGCAAGAUGAGCCACAGUUCCUGAGCCAUGGAGAAAAUGUGUCCAUAAACAGAUGAAAAGAGAGGAGACAUCUCAGUCGGCAAAGCGCUUGUCUUGAAAGCAUGAGGACCUGAGUUCAAUCCCUGGCACCUCCAUAUAAAUUCAGGUGUGUGCUUAUGACCCCAGUUCUAGGGAGGUGGACACAGAAGGAGCCCUUGGUGUCACUGGCCAGUCAGCCUAACCUAAUUGAUGAGUCUUAGGUCUGUAUUUCAAUAAGCAAAGUGAAUGACUCUCAGAGAACAAUAGCCAAAGUUGACCUCUGGCCUCCAUACGCACAUUGCACAAGUGCAUUUGGACAUGCACACUCCCCCUCCCAGCAAACUGAUGAAUAAAGAAGGAAAUUGUAACACACACAUACACACACACACACACACACACAGAGAGAGAGAGAGAGAGAGAGAGAGAGAGAGAGAGAGAGAGAGAGAGAGAGAGAGACAGACAGACAGACAGACAGACAGACAGAUGCUGUGGGAUGUUCUGUAUGUCAAAUGUGUUGCUCUGAUUGGUUAAUAAAUAAAACACUGAUUGGCCAGUAGCCAGGCAGGAAGUAUAAGUGGGACUAACAGAGAGGAGAAUUGAGAGAACAGGAAGGCAGAGAGAGGAGACACUGCCAGCCGCCACCAGGACAAGGAAGAUGUAAGGUACCGGUAAGCCACGAGCCACAUGGCAAAGUAUAGAUUAAUAGAAAUGGGUUAAUUUAAGAUAUAAGAACAGUUAAUGAGAACCCUGAGCCAUUAGGCCAAACAGUUUAAAUAAUAUAAGCGUCUGUGUGCUUAUUUUAUAAGUGGACUGUCAAACUGCCGGGGCUUGGCGGGACCCAGAGAGAAAACUCUCUAGCUACAGACAGACAGGCAGACAGGCAGGCAGAGAGGGAGAGAGAAGAGAAUAUUAUUCAGUCCUACAAAGAAGGAAAUCCUUCCAUUGGGACAUCAUGAAUUAACUUAUAGGAUAUGACACUGAAUGAAAUUACUCGGACACAGAGGAUUCAUACAGCACAAUAUCAUUUAUAUUCAGAAUCUUAAAAACUCAGACUAGGAGAAACAAAAUAGAUUGGUGGUUUCCAGGCAUGGGGAAUGGGGAAAUUCAGAGUUGUUGGUUGAAGGAUUCAGAAGUUCAAGUGUAUGAUGAGUAAGUUCUGGUGGUCUAAUCCACAGUAUAUGACUACAGUUAGUAAUAAUGUGUUGACUAUUUGAAACUUUCUAAGGAAAUGGAUCCUAAGUUAUCACCACACAAACGUGUACAAGUAUUCACAAAAUGGUAACGGUGUCACGUGAGAGAGAUGUUAUUAACUUGCUUGUGGGAAGCACUACAAGACAUGAUCCUCAUGUCUCAGCCUUUCAAACACACAUUUGGGAUUACAGUCAUGAGUCAUGAAGCCCCAAUCACACAAGGCAUUCUUAUGUCAAACUACUAUACUGUGUGCCCCACACACAUUUUAUUUUGUCACAUUCACAUACCUCAAAAAAUUUGAAAAAAAUAAAACUCUGCAAAAACAAAAAUGGUAUUUCAAAAGGCCCAGUUGAGGGGUGGGAUUGUGAUCCAAUGGUAGAAUAUUUAUCUGGCAUAAGCAAGGACCUGCAUUUGAUACCGAGAACCACAAAAUCUCUGAAAGAAAAUAACUAUCCAACCAACCAAACAUCCUGGAAGGGGGCAAGUGACUCUCCCUGCUAUCCUAUCCCAGGACAUAAUGUUCCUCAUUUAUCCUCGCAGGUCCCUGCUCAGUGUUUCUGAUGGAAUUUGGAGUCUAUUCCCUUUUUCAGAUGUUGUUAUAAAUGGCAUCUGGACUCCAUUGCAGGCCUAGGAUCUAUUCCUGAUAUAUUAUGGUUAGGAUUGUACAAGCUGGUCUGAAAGUCUGACCACCAUGAGGUUAUUUUGGAGAGAAGCAUUUGACAUUCCAAACAUUUGGCUCAUUGCUACAUAGGUGCUCAAAUUCUAAGAUGGCAGCCUGUAUUAAUAUUUAGUCUGUAAAUGUCCAGUAUAAAACAUAAAACAUUAAUAACUUGCUAUUGUAAGAACUGAAAGGAAAAUGUGUAGUUUACUACUGAGCGAGACACGUCUUAGUAACAACUUGAUUUGCUAAAGAAUACUCAUCUGUUUAUGUUAGAAACUCUGUUCAAGCAGAAUCUUACCACGCUGUGACACAAAGGAGCGAUGCCAUUCUGGGUGAAGUACAAGUGGGGGUUGGAGCCCAGUGUACCUGGUCCACUCUGCCCACCUGACAGCCACUGAAGACAGCUCCUUAGAACCACCGAGACACAGUUUGCUACCACUGUGGCAGACCUAGAGUGCACACUAACACUGAUCCAGGUGUGAGCACACUGGAUAAUUUGGGAACAGAGGGAGUCCCACACAGGACAGGUAAUCUUUUCAGUGUAUCUUAACCAAUCCGAAUUCUCACCCAAUCAGUUGUUGCUUGUGUUCAGAUUCACAGGCUGAGUUUCUCCGUUUUGUUAUUCUGGAGGUUGUUCCUGCAGGCUGUGGUCUCUCGGGUUCCUGUGACAGCUGUUCCUGUGGGGUUUGCCUGACAAGACGUUAAGGUGGGAGACUGAAGGCAGAGUGGGAAGGGCAAGGCAGGGCAUUCUUCCUCCUUUUCUCCACCUCUAAGUCUUCCAUUGAACCCUCGCUGAAUUCCCUCCACACUCUCUCUCAAUGCUUGUGGUAAUGUCUCCUCUGGGCUGCCAAUUCCCCUCGAUCAGCCUCUGCCAUAGUGUUCCUUCACUGAGAGCAGGUACCACACGUUAAGAAAUGGUUAAGAGAGAGAAAUCUUAAGACUGAGAGAAUUCUGCCCAUCCACUAGGACUUUUAUCCCUGUGAAUUGGGAGGGAGAGAAAUGCCAUCUUCCUAUUUGUGGCAGUGGGAUAUCAAUCUCCCAAAGAAGUGCAGUUUGCACAUUAGGGCAUCCCAAGCCAAAUUUAGUAUUCUGACUCUGAGAGGUUUUGGCUAAACACAGCUGUGUAGAUCUUCAUUUCAGCUGGACUCUGGGGCUGUUCUGAACUUGCUUUGGUGACAUGGUCUAGAGAGGUCCCGGGGGGGUAAGCAGUCCUCCAGGACAGUCAUGACUCUCUCUCUGUUCUCCAGCAUUUUGUUCUCAGGAACCCAGCCUCAUGGCCAUUCCCCGAGUGUCUGGAGUCUUAACAUAAUCUGCCUUCCCCCCUUUUCUUUGUUUAUAUAUGGGCGCUGUAGCUUUGGUUUUGAUUUGAAUUUGAUGAAUUUGAUCUCUUGAUUCUGGAAAAGAUGGAGGCUAAACUGUCACCUCACUUAAUAUGUCUCAAAUGCUGUUUGGCGGGAAGGUAGGAAAGGACCAGCUUUCCUGAGCAAACAAAGGUAAGUGAAAGAUCCUAGACCCUGGGUGAAGGAUUUCCCCUGUCAGAAUCUACACUCUGAGUGUCACUGGUGAAGCUGACUGGGAAGGCCACAUGCUCAAUGACUUAGUUUCUAGAUGAACGCUGUGGCGUCAACACAGUCUUAAGAUGAUGUGAAACAGACAUUGAUCUUCUGUUAGGUACACUCAGGACUUCAAAAGCUCUCAGCUGCUUUACAGGUGGUUUUGGCUUUGGCAAUAGGAUGUUCUAUAUGUUUUCAGAACACCUGCUUUUUGUAGACUGUCUUAUCUACAUUUCAACUGCUAACACCAGAGAAAGUAUUAUCAUAGUAUUGGUGAGAAAGGUGGUGUUGAUUUCGCUUGCUCUGUGUUGCUCUUAUUUAAACACUGAGACCUUUUUUUUGGUCUGUAGUCCAGACUCAGAAUCAAGGAGAGCCAAGUAAUACUGACAAGAUUUUUUUUUUUUUUUUACUUCACCAGCAUCACAGGGGAAAUCAGGAUGACAUUGUGGACUUCGGUGGGAGGAGUGUUUCCCUUGGCUGUAUCCUCCUUCCUAGAUCCCAAUACCUGCCCCAGGUCUGACUGGUAUUCUGUACUUUUCCCUAAUUGUUAUGCUAAUUUUCUACUGAAACCAGAGCCCUAUUGACUGUCUGUCUAGGGAGACCUUUCAAACCUUGACUAACCUUUCUUCAUAGUGACUAAACUCCCACUUCUGGCUGAUGAACAGCCUCCUGCUCAUUUCCAGAGCAAAAUUCUCCUGUACAUCCAGGAACUGGACUUCUGCAGCCACAUUCUACCUUGUCAAUAGGAUGUUUCAGUAUCAGCUGUCCCUGGGACACUGUCAUGUGAACUGUUGGACAUGCAUCCCAUAACCAGGUGACCUAGACGUAAGCAACAAAGACUUCUGGCUUUAAAUGCCUUCUGGGCUGUUGAGAUGCCUCAGUGGAUAAAGGUUCUCUCUGCCAAGUCUGGCAACCUGAGGUUGAUCCUUGGAGCCUACAUAGUGGAAGGAGAGAACUGACUCCCGCCAAUGGUCCUCUGACCUCCACAUGUAUGCUGUGGUUUCUUUGUUCAGUGUUCAGAUGCACCUUUCAUGGGUCCUGGCAAGAUGGAUACAAGAAUAUAAGAUACAAUAAGCAGAUAGGAUCCCAGAGAUCCAGGAGGAAGAAAGGAAUAGGAAAGAAGAAAACACUACUCCUUCUGGAACAGUACUGGUUCCCCUGCCUUUUACAUCCAGCUCAAGUUGUACCAUCUCCUAAAUCUUCCGUUGAUUUCUCCAGUUCCACACAGACUUCCCCAUCCACUCACCAUAUACCCACCAUUCUUAAACCUUCCGUGGGUUGAAAUCCCUUCGACUUUUCAAGCCUGUCAGUUUCCGAAGGACAGCACAUCCUCAGAGCCUGGGUCUGGCACAGAAAUGAGAGGAGUGACCUAUCAAUGACUGGUUCAGUUUGAAAUCCGUGCCAUGAGAGGGAGCCCAACCCUGACACUGCCUGGAGGGCCGGGGACCUUCAUUCUUAAUCCAGUAGGACUGCUGUCCUUAGAAGAAAAGACACCUUGCUCUCCUACAUGAUCGUAAAGGAAAGGCCACGUGAGGACGCAGAAAGUGGUUACCUGGGAACCAGGAGGAGUGGCCUCACCAGCUGUCAAAUCUAUCGGCACCUGUCUGAUGGGGAUGUCGUUCCGUGUGCUGUGAAUGUGUCUUGCUCUGAUUGGUUGAUCAAUAAAGCUGUUUGGCCAAGGGUGAGGCAGAAUAAGGUUAGGUGGGACAUUCUCACUGGAGAGAGGGGAGAGAGAAGAAAAGAGAACUGAGGAGAUGCUGCCAGCUGCCGCCAAGAGAAGCAAGAUGUAAAGAUACCGAACUUCACAGCAGAAGCUUGAAGAUGCUCCUCUUGCCAAGACUAUCAUCUUUGUAAGCACCCAGCUUCAGGAAGCUUGAAGGUUGAGGAGGAAAGGGAGACCAGGUGGUAAGCCAGCUGCAUCCAUAUGGACUGGUGGAGGUCACCCCCUCCUGCCCCUCUGCCACUCAGGUGUGAGGAUGUAGUCUUGACUCAGUUUGUAGAAACAUCACUUCAGCCCUGUUCAAUCACUUUGCCGAACAAAGGAAUCAGUCCCAGGUCGGUCCGCCACACUCCUGACCCGGGAGCCCACCGUGAAUAUUCUUGUCUCAUCUACUCACAUCGUUCUCAAGAUUGGUUUUAUUGUUUGCUAAACGUGUCACUAAAAGCACAAUUAUUCCAGCUGUGUGUGGUUUUUUGCUCGAAGAGUGUGCAGCUCGGUUCUACAAGGAAGGCUGAUGGUGACUUGAGCAACUCCAUUGUCUGUCUUUCUUGUAUCCAGAGUGACGUAGCUUCAAGGACUACAGGACCCACAGUUACUAGCUGUGGGAAACCCAAACUUCUUAUUCCCCACUAACCACCCCAGAUACACAGCGGUUGUCACUAUCUAGUACUUGGGCAUGGACAGGGCCGUUACUCUAAUUUCAUAUCUAUAGAGGCUUUCAUACUGCUAAGAGGCUGCAUUGUUUCCUCACACAGCCAGUUUAGGGGAACUGGGAGCAGUCCUCACAUCUUCCAGCUCCUAAAUUAGUUACCUUUCUCCUAUAUCAGCAGUUCUCAACCUUCCAAAAUCUGUGACCGUUUAAUAGAAUUCCUCAUGCUGUGGUGACCCCCAACCAUAAAAUUAUUGUCUUUGGUACUUCAUAGCUGUAAUUUUGCUACUGUUACGAAUUGUAAUGUAAACAUCUGAUAUGCAGAUGGUCUUAGGUGACCCCUGUAGAAGGGUCAUUCGACCCCAAAAGGGCUGCAACCCAUAGAUUGAAAACUACUGCCCUAUAUGGUAAGUUAUAAGCUAGUGACUUUCUGCUCCUUUUAAAAAUUUUCAAAAAUGGGAAAAAUUCCAGUAAACCUUUUUUUUUUCAAAGUAAAAAUGUUUGUUAUUUUGCCAUUUCAAAAAACAGUUUCUGCUGUGUGUUAAAGUCAUUCAGAAAAGUAAGUUUAUUCUCAGCCCUGCUUCCUAGCCCACAGCCCUGUUCUCAAGACUAUGUCCCCAUGCACAGGAGUGACUGUUGAUCACCAAGUUCCAGCACAUGCCUGCUUAGAAAACAGAUGAGCCGAAGUCGGGUGAAGCAAAUGGUCUGUUCUGGAAAUUGUGAAUAAGAAUGAAUAGCUGAUUCAAUUUUAUGGUUCAUUUGGACAGAGGACAAUUAAGCUCUGGGGGUGGAGCCGCCAUGUUUGGCUAUUUAAACAUGAAACAGGGAACUGGAGAAAAAAACAAAAAGCAUGGACAAGCAAGGAGAAAGCAAGACCACGCAGAGCGGGUGGAGACGGAACUAAGCAGACUGCAGGAACGGCUGCUUGGGCUGUUCUCUGUGAGUCAGUUCUGGCCCAAGGGCAGAUCAGCUCCUGAUGUAUUCUUGCCCUUGGGUCGUAAUGAGACAAUCCUUGGUUCUCUUCAAUAUGCUGUUGGUUUCAUGUAAAUGAUGCUGAAGAGUCUCUCACUCAAACAGCUUGAAUUUGGAUGUUCACCGAACAACUUUCUUGAAUUAUUUGCUCCAAGCAUUUCUGUCAUUGGUUGGGAACAGACAACAUUAUACCCCAGCCAGUGCCCUAUAGCCUCACACACGCUCAGCUGCACACAUCUUUAGGUAGUCAUAGCUCUGCUCAGCUGCACAGUCCAGGCUGCAUUUCUCAGUUCUGCCCAGCUUUCUCUUCAGUCUGCAGCUCCCUGAGAACCACAUCCAGGCUGGCACUUGGGUACUCUGCCCUCACUGACACCCAUUACUUCACCGCUUUGUGCCUUGCGUGCCCACCUCCUUUCUCAUAGGCAGCCACACUGUCACUCAUUAUUUGCUAAUGACUAGUUGGCAGGCAGAGAGAAGUGGCAGCCAGCCUGGCCUUCAGACGGGAAAGAAUCGUGUUUUUCACAGAAUGAAAACAUUGCUUGGUAAGAAGCACUUUCCAGCGCUGAAUAUUUCUCUUUCAAAGUCCCGCUGGGCUCCCUCUGUCUCCAAGUGUCUGCUUUUCCAUCGUCGCUUCAGCCCACCCUCCUUCCCAGAUGGAGACUGGCAGGGCCAUCAGAUUUGGGGAUGGGGCUCUCGCAUGGCAGGUGUAGGCUCUAGCGGGGGAAAAGCUAGUAUGAUCUCUAGGAAGCAAAGUGAAGACCGGUUAUAAUGGAAGAAAAUAAUGGGCUGUUAUUUGGAAACCUUUGACACCUCUUAGGUUUGUCUAGAAAAAGCCAGUAAUUUGUGAGAAGCUACCAAGUUCUCUGAUAGCCGGAAAUAAGUGUCCUAAGCCUGCAUAAUGAACUUGCCUCACAAACUUAGUAUUUGUUCCAGAGAGGGCAGGCUCUGACACCAUUUCUCCUUACCUUCCUGCACGUUAUCUCGCUCCUCUAGAGCUAUAAGAACAGGACUUCUGGAAGCAGCCCUGUGAGGGCAGGCUGUCCCCUGUCCCUGCAGGAGGUAAUGUUGCCAGUGUUGACAAUAAUGUUGGUCACUCAUUUUGUAAUUCACACUCUACCAAGCUGAUUUUUAAAAAAACCUGCUAAAACAAGAAAAACAACAACAACCACAAAAACCGAAAACCAAGCCCCUGGAUCUGCAAGGAGCUCUAAAUGCUUCUCUGCCAGAAGAGGGCUCUGCAUCCCUGACUCCCUGUUCCCCCUUUAAAAAAAAAAAUCACACAGAAAUCCCUAGGAAAGCAAAUACCUUUUAAUAUCCACACUGUUUUCUAUGUGUCCAUAACAACCCAACAACAAAAAAGUUUAUCUGUUGAAGACAGUCAAAAGACGUAUUAGUAAAUGCAAGCCAGGCACUGGUACAGAACCGGGAGUAGUGUGGGGGUUCAGAUAGCUUUCGGUGACCAUAUUUCUUACGCUGCUUGCUCAGGUUUGAAAUAAAGUGACAAAAAAAAGAAGAAUAAGAAGAAGAAGCAACAAGGGUCUCUUGCUCACGAGGAGCAGUGGGUAAUAUAUUUGUUUGUAUUAUGGGAUUGCAGUUUUACUAGAAGGAACACUUGACAUUUUGAUGAGUGCCUCGGGGGAGAAAAGGUACUAACUUCAGAACUUAGUUUUAAUUAUACUAAGGAGGUUACAUUAUUCAGAGGCAUCCCACUGGUAAGGUGCAACAUUUCCUGAAACAGUUUAGUGGAAAAUGCCACAUUAAUCAGUUCAAUAUUUCACUCAGAAGGCUUAAUGGGAGAAGUUUAAAGUACCGUAGCAUUUGAUAAUGUAGAAGGGGGGAAAAAGAGUGUUCACUCGAGGAACGGCUGAAAUAGUUGUUAGUCCCUCUUGUGUUUUUCUCCAUUAAAAGCUGUCUGGCUGUGCUUGCCGCUCAGGAGGGAUACACACACACAUACACACGGCCCCAUUCCUGAAAAAGAACCUGAAAAAGGCAACACACCCAGAGAGAAGAGUACCGUGUGUGCAAGCUGUAACCUCUGUCCAGCUGUACCGGUCCACCCACGCAGAUCAUUUCCUCUCCCUUCAUUGGUCCAGCCUGGUGACAUAAAGCUAUUUUCUUCCAUCACAUCCAGACACACAAGUGCUGUAACACGAAUUGCUAAAUGGUCUUAUUAAUAAUAAAAAAAGCCCUGAUGCCAGAUAUUGGGGUGAAUGCUGAAAGAUCAGAGAGACAGAACAAGCCAGAGCCAACCUCACCUCACCAACUCCUCAGCCAGUCCUGUUUCCUCCAGACUGGAAGUCUCUGAGUCCUUACCCAAAAGUGUCUCUGUUGAACUGCUGCUAAAAAGGCUCUAGUUCCUGUUGAACUGCUGCUAAAAAGGCUCUACUUCCUGGUCCUUACGCCUUAUAUACCUUUCUGCUUCCUGCCAUCACUUCCUGGGAUUAAAGGCAUGUGCCACCAUGCCUGGCUGUUUCCAGUGUAGCCUUGAAUUCACAGAGAUCCCAAUGGAUCUUUGUCUCCUGAAUGCUAGGAUUAAAGGCAUGUGCUAGCUAACCUCUGUGUUUAAUAUAGUGGCUGUUCUGUUCUCUGACACCAGAUAAGUUUAUUGGGGUGCACAAUAUAUCAACAAUAAAGUGGUCUUUGUAAAUGCACAGGAUUGCACAUAAAAGGGAGAUGGGCAAAAUAUGACUACUGAGUCACUUCCCUUUCUUCCCCCAACUUAUGUUCCAACGACCAUUUCUAUUCUACAAAAUUAGGACAAAAAUCUGUUCCGAAAGACAGAAAGCUUUGUGGUUACCCUACAGAUCUUUGCCUGACAGGUUGGCCAGCACACAUGGGCAAAUAGAGAGUCUGAAAAGACUAGGUGAUGAGGAAGAUUGGAAAUUCAAUCCAGGUAUUAAUGUUUGUAAACAUGCAAAUAAACCUAUCUCAGUCAAAUUAGAGGAACACGAUUUUUAAAAAACUAAUCAAGAUUAAUUAUCCUCAUGGUACAGUAGUCUAAUCAAUGUAUUGCAAACAGCAGUGUGGUCAUAGUUGCCUCGUGCCGUUCCCAGUGAAGUGUUGCUGCUGUGCUUUAGAUAAAGUUUUGUUCCUCAAAGGAUUUUGUGCUGGAAGCUUGGUCCCAAGGACUUUGUGUUAAAAGGUGGUAGACUCUUGUCUUAGUUAGGGUUCCUAUUACUGCAAUGAAACACAUGAUCAAAGCAAGUUGGGGAAGAAAGGGUUUAUUCAGCUUACACUUCCAUAUCAUAGUUCAUAAUUGUUUUUCCUCUUCUUCUUUGUUCUGCUAAGGCAAACACUCUGCCAUUACUCAGAAAGAACAUCCAUUUACACACCAAACCAGUAGUUCCUAUUGCACAUGUUAACAUUACUUGUCACCUAGCACCCUAACUAUAUGGUACCUCAUAUAGUUCAUCAUCAAAGGAAGUCAGGACAGGAAUUCAAGAGGGCACGAACCUGGAGGCAGGAGCUGAUGCAGAGGCCAUGGAGGGGUGCUGCUUACUGGCUUGCUUUCAUGGCUUGCUCAGCCUGCUUUUUUUAUGGAACCCAGGACCACCAGCCCAGAGAUGGCACUACCCACAAUGGGCUGGGCCUUCCCCAUCAAUCACUAAUUCAAAUGCCCUAUAGGCCAGCUCUUACGGAGACAUUUUCUCAAUUGAGGGUCCAUCCUUUCAGAUGACUCUGGCUUGUGUCAAGUUGACAGAAUUAUCAAGUACAACCCUUAAGAGGUGGGGCCUAGUGGGAGGUGGUUUCAUCAUGACUGCUUUCAGGAGGGGAUUGAUUACCUCUUAAAGGAAUAGAGUAGAUCCCAAGAGAGUGGAUUAUUAUAAAAGAGAAACCUUGGUGCCUCCUCACUCUUGUUUCCUCUCUUCCCUAGUGGCUUCCAACCAUGUGACACUACUCACCGUGUUAAUAUAGCCACAGGGUCUUCACAGAUGCUGGCACCAUGCAGUUUGGACUUUCUAGUCACCAGUGUCUUAAGCCAAAAUCAUUUAAAACAACAAACAUUUCCCAGCAUUAGGUGUUUUGUUAUAGUAACACAAAACAGGCUAAGUUUAAUUUUUCUUCAGUUCCUAUCACAAAGGAGCCAAAGACCUGUGAGUUAAAAACUAAAAACUCUGUUGGAGAGACAGCUCAGUUGGUCAAGUUCUUGUCUGGCAAGCAUAAGAGCCUGAGUUUGAUCCUCAGAAACCAUGUUUAAAAAAAAAAAAAGCUAGGCCUGGCGUUGUGUGCCCUGGAGAGGCAGAGAGGUAGAGAUUUCAUAACUUACUGGUCAGCCUUGGCAAGGCUGUGUGUGUUACUUGGCAAGUUCCAGGCUAGUGAGAGACCCUGCAUCAAAAAAA